rnacentral:lncRNA from 1 species
GCCAGUUUCCCCAUCUAAAAGUGGAAAUAUUCCACAUAGUGCUGAGCUUGUCAGUGAACUGGCCCUGGGGAGACCCCGCACUCUCUGCAAAGUCCAGGAGGGUCUCUUGGCGGGGGUCCCCUACAGAGAAGCCACCUCCCCUGCAAACAAUACAAAGACAACAAGGCAACAAGGACCUCUGUUGGCCUCGGGCUUUUAGAACCAAAAUGAGCCAAGAUGAUCAGUGGUACCCAGGCCACAGGAGAACAUUCAAGUGUGACGUCCCCAAGUAUGUUCAAGGAAGAGCAUUGGUGUGGGGCACCUGGGUGGUGCCGUUGGUGAAGCAUCUUAUUCAGCUCAGGUCAGGACCUCAUGCGUUGUGAGAUGGAAUUGGGCUCUUUCCCUCUGCUCCUCCUUCAACUCAUGCUCUCUAAAAUAAAUCUUUUUUAAAAAUCAUGUUUAUUUAGGAAAACAUAAUUCUCGUGACGUCCUUGUUGGAGAUACUUUACGCUAAAAAUGAAAACCCUGCAAGCGCCGUGUAGGGCCACCCUCGCUUAGAGGCGCUAAACCAGGAAAGACCUUCCGGGCCGCGCACGCGCACAGCGCUCUGCCGCAGAGGCCCGACACCACCGCGCAAACCGCCGGGGGGCUGAAGGGGGGAGGGGCCCGCGCACGCGCAGAGCUGCACAACAUGGCGGCUACGAGAGGUCAGGGAAGGGAGAGAGAGGAGAGGCGAAGAGAAAUGGGAAACCGAGCUUGAGCUCCAGAACCAGGGAGAGGGGAUGGGAGACCCCGACAGCAAGCCUGUCCAUUCAGUCCCGAUCAGCCUGGAGCCCCACACGGAAGAAUGGUUGCUGACCUCAUCUCAGAACAUGUCCAAGCCUCCCCCCUCACGUGGGUGCUGCGCAUGCCUUCCAGACGAACCUCUUCAGCCUUCACCUUCUGUCCAUACCGGCCAAAGAUGGGUGUUCAAGAUCCUCAUCUGUAACAACGUGCUUGGCGCACCCAUUAUGGUCACAGUUCUGUGGAGCUUUAUCAAUAAAAUUAGACUGUGCAGACAAACUACAGAAAGCUCCAUCCCCCUCCCUCCAGCAGCUGAGCCAGGCAGGGGAGGGAGCCCACAUGCAUGACUUAAUCUGACUUUGUUAGCGUCCUGCUGGCU